CUGGCGGCGGUGACGGCGGCUCUGCUCGUUGCCGCGGGCGAGCGCGAGCAGGUGCGGAGCACGCAUUGGGAGCCGAGCCCAGGCCACGUCAGCAGAUUGCGGAGGCCCUCUACUUCCGCUCGGAAUACCGGAGCAGCGGCCUUCCACAAUUAUUCAGUAGGCUGUAGAGUAUGCCGCUGCAGCACUUCUUUACGGCAUCGCGCACUGCAGGGGAUGGGGCGGGAUCGCGCGGGCGUGGACUGGGGAGAUGGAGGGAGGAAGGGAGAUCGGAAUCGAAUCAUACCUCGUCGUCGUCGUCGUCGUCGGCCGGGCCUCGUGGCUUGGGGAUCGGAUGGGAUGCGCUCCUCCGCGAUGGCCAAGAUAUAUAUGCACGCACACCGCCACACAGCGGACGGCGAGGGCUCCUGCUCAGCAGCCUCGGCUGCCGGCCUGCCGCCCAGUGUGAAGACGAGUGUGCCGUCCAAGGAAGGGACAGUCAGUGAUUUCUUUUCUUGUUCUUUCUGCAAUUUCACACUAGAGUGCCUUUUGUUUUUCCGGUGCCAAAAAAAAAACAAAUUGCUUUUGUGCAUCAAAACCCAACAGCUCCCCUUCCAUGCGCCUGCAUAGCUUCUUCAUGAAGAAGUCUCCUAUUUUCUCUUCAGAUAGCUAUUUUCACUUCAGAUAGCUGCGACCAAAUUCUUGUCCAAUAUAUUUUAUCCCUGCUUCUUUCCUCGAGCAAAAUAUUUGCUUGGUCAAAAACUCAAAAGCUUGGCUGUUGGUGGCUAGCACUUCUGCUUCCCUUUUUCUUUUUCAGGCGAAUCAAAAGGCAGUCAAAAGAAAGUUGCUGCUGCUGGCUGCGAUUUGAAAGCCCCGGCCAUGCAACCAAAGUGGCAUUUCAACGAAAUAAACCAAAAGUCAUCAGUGUUCAUCAGGAUUUACGAUUCGAGUGUCGGUAAGAAAGUAAAGCAGACUCGAUCUCCUCUAGCACCGUGAUCUGCGGAUUGAAACCGGCCAAGGAACGGCGGCGUCGCGUGGUGAAAGCUUUCGACCUCUUCGUGGGAUGAGAUCAUGAGAAUGAGAUAGUAGGCCGUAGGUGACUGCACUCGCCUGCCGCGGCGAGGAAGUCGCAACGGCCAGCGGAAUUCAGCUCUCUCGCUGACCUCGGUGGCACCAACUUCAUUGCAGCUUACGAACCCACGUUGAAACGCGGUGCAUGUUUCAUGCCACGUGGUCCAUCCCUGCUAGUAAUAAGCAUGGUGAUGCUGAAUUCAACUAAUUCCCCAGCUGAACUCCCCUGGAGUGCACUGCACACACUACAUCCAUCUUCAUUGUUCUUCAUCGCACACAAGAGCAGCCGUGUGCCCGUGUCGCACACAGUACAUCCAAUCCUGAUGCCAUGGUCAUCAAGAGCAGCCGUGUCGUCGUGCCGCGAAAUUUCCACGAUCCAAACGUCUUGUUAAUACCCGUUGAGAAUCCUGAAACGUACCCCCGUGCUGCCGUGCAAGUUGCCGCCAGAGACCAUGCCGGUGGCGCCCCCAGUCUCCGGUGGCGAAUUGAUCGGUUUGACUUGGAUGGGAAUCUGUUCAACCCAGUGCAACCCAUGCACCCAAUCACUUGAGAUGAUGAGGUGGCUUGGAGAAAGAAUAGGACAAGACAGCCAGGGUUUUCCGUUCUGUUUCUUCAGACAGGUCACUGUCACACCCCAUGACGACCUGCUUUUCCUUCCUUCAUGUAAAAAACAGGUUCAGAGCAAGUGGCGAAGCUGUGAGCUCAUUCAUACCGGAAGCAGCAAGAGAGCACAUCAGAGUGAGAGGGGAGACUUGUUUAGUGGGAAGAUUAGUGCUAGAGGUGCGGAAUUAGGAGUGGUAAAGUGGUCAAAGACGAAGAAGAACAGGUGACCCUGCCUUGUUUCAGAGGCUGAAAGAAUAUUACUGAUGGAAACAGACAGAUGAGCCGACAGACGUGUUGACCUGUGGUCUUGGCAGCACUAGUAACCGAGCGUGCUGCCUGCUAAUCAACGAGGUGGUGGGUUGAUUAGGCGGGGAAUCAAGUGAAGAGGGCCACCGACUAAACAAGGGGUGUGCAAUGGUGGGUUCCACCGAGGACGACGACUGAACUGAGCUCCCCUUCAAUGGUUGGCACCUUUCUCCACGUCCUUUGCCUUGUUUCUUUUCUUCCCUCCUUGGAUAAACUGUGCAAAUGAUAGUUGUAGGCGAGUCCACUUGGACUUUGGAUCAUACAGUACAGCUUACACCGUGUAUGAGCAAGAAUUGACAGCUGCUGCCAACCAAAUUUGGAGGUCAGGCCACAAUCCUAAAAGAUUGCAUGCCUAGAAACCUUUGACAGGAAAAUGAUCUACAAUACUUUUCACUGGCUUUAUCCCCCAAAAAAACUCUUUCACGCUAAAUGGGUUGGGGGGGGGGAUAGGGGCAUGAUGCAAGACCAAAGCCAUCAUGAUUCUUGAGCAAGCCUUAAGCUCAGCCACAUCAAUAAAUUAUCCAGAUAUUACAUCACAAGAUAGUAUAUAUCAAGUGGGUAUUUCUGCUUGCAGAGUAGCAAUUCAGGUAUGCAAUGUCUGCAUAAUCCAUAUUAUCUUGGUUUCAUAAGACUGGUAACUUGUAUACAGAUGUGAAGGUUACAGAGAACAUGGUUCGGAGCUGGUUCUCGCAAAACAUAAAAGGCCUGCCACAAGAAUAAGAACAUACACAUACUGUGCCCGCCAGAUUGUAUCCCAUGAGAUAGAAUUACAACACUAUGCCACAUGACAGGGGCGGCGUCUCGCAGACAGUAGAUACAACAGACUUCCCAAGGAGCCUCAUCAAUUUUUUACACAAGUAUGGAAUUAUCACUUGUCUUCUAUCUCAACAGCCUCCUGCUUACCGGUGGUGCAAGUCCUGGGAUGUUGGGAAUAUCCUUGUUGUGUGGGUUUACAAUCUGCCAAUGGAACAGUAUGAACAUCAUGCAUC